AGUUUGAAAUUUUACCAUUUUUAUAGUAUGUGGCAAAAACUUGCUUAGUUGUCAUCUGCUUGAUUUCACAUUUAAGACUUUCCUCCAAAGUCCUUUGCUAUUUAUGCUUAGAAAUUCUGCAACCUGAGAUCAGAUGAAGACUUACCUACUAUGUUUUCAUCAGGUUGUUUUAUGGUUUUGUUGAAGAUUUUAGACUUUGGAAAUAUAUUUUUCUAUGGUAUGUAAUAAGGUUACAAUGUAACCUUAAACCAAAUUGUGAAAUAAGUACCCAAACAUCAUGUACUGAAACUAUUGUUUUAUUGUACAGCUGUGCCAAUUUUUAUCAAAUAUUAAAGUCUUGUUUUUGUUUUUUUUUAAUUGGGUUGCUCAGUGUUCCACCAGUGCUAUACAAGAGAAAAAUGGAGCAUGGAACAGUCAAUCAGCAAGUACAACCAAUCUCUAGCCUUUAAAUUUAGGGACAUCAAAACAGAAUAGAAACAAAUUCAGAAUGGCUUUUAGAAUAUAUGCUUAACCUUUGAUUAGAGAGACAGAAAAAAUGAACAGUUCUUCUACAUGCCCACAGGCUUUAUCCCAAAGGUUUUCUAUUCACAGUGAAGGAACUGAGGUAGGAGAAAGAACACAGAGCAGUUCCUUCCCAAUUCCCUUAGUAACCUGGCUGGGUAUGGCAGAACUGCAGUGUUAUAAUAGAAAUUCUAUCAACAAGAAUGGCUUCAAGACCUGUUUCUUUGAUCAAAAUGAGGGAGAAGACAAGGAGAAAAGUGGAGGCAAAGAAGCUCAGAUACCUCAGAACUGCAUCCAGUACAGAGUCACAUAUGGCUUAUCCUUAGUUGGAAAGAAUGGAAUAGAAAUAAUUACAAUAUAUUGCUUUGUCACCACUGAGACCAAGGAGAGAAGAUGGUACUAUUCUCAAUAAUUAGU